AUAAUUUUUUUUAUCUUAGAUGCGACGAAUGCCAGAAGAAUUACCAUUUCACCUGUUUAGAUCCUCCAGUGAAGAAAACCCCAAAACGGAGAGGAUAUUCUUGGCACUGUGCCGAUUGCGACCCCACAGCUUCAGAAUAAUUAUUGUAUUUAUGUGUUUAUAGGUAUAAUCAGUCUGUAUUCUAACAUUACCGAAAUAAAUCCAGUUAUUUUAA